rnacentral:rRNA from 1 species
CCUACGGGGUGCUGCAGUGGGGAAUAUUGGACAAUGGGCGAAAGCCUGAUCCAGCCAUGCCGCGUGUGUGAAGAAGGCCUUCGGGUUGUAAAGCACUUUCAGUGGGGAAGAAAGCCUUGGGGCUAAUACCCUCGAGGAAGGACAUCACCCACAGAAGAAGCACCGGCUAACUCCGUGCCAGCAGCCGCGGUAAUACGGAGGGUGCGAGCGUUAAUCGGAAUUACUGGGCGUAAAGCGCGCGUAGGCGGUCUGAUAAGCCGGUUGUGAAAGCCCCGGGCUCAACCUGGGAACGGCAUCCGGAACUGUCAGGCUAGAGUGCAGGGGAGGAAGGUAGAAUUCCCGGUGUAGCGGUGAAAUGCGUAGAGAUCGGGAGGAAUACCAGUGGCGAAGGCGGCCUUCUGGACUGACACUGACGCUGAGGUGCGAAAGCGUGGGUAGCAAACAGGAUUAGAUACCCCGAGUAGUC